rnacentral:lncRNA from 1 species
GGCGGAAUUGCAGCGGAGCUCUGUGCUUGGAUGUACUGUAGUUUCCUUUCAUAAAAAAGCUACCAUAAUAAAAUAUGUGUACAGAGAGAGAAUCUAGAAAUGAAAACAAUUCAGUAGGCAUGGACUAUGCAGGCUCCCACCUGAGAAGCCCUAAACAAGCCAUUUGCAAUAAGAAUACACACCCCACAGUGCAAAUGCUCUAGGUGCCCCAUAAAACUUUUUUUUAAUUUUCCUGGCAACUCUUGCUCCUAUCUCUCUCCCCUAUCCCCUCUCCCGAG